rnacentral:rRNA from 1 species
AUUGAACGCUAGCGGGAUGCUUUACACAUGCAAGUCGAACGAGUGGCGGACGGGUGAGUAAUAUAUCGGAACGUGCCCAAUAGCGGGGGAUAACUACUCGAAAGAGUAGCUAAUACCGCAUACUAUUAGAGCGGCCGAUAUCGGAUUAGCUAGUUGGUGGGUUAAAGGCUCACCAAGGCAACGAUCCGUAGCUGGUUUGAGAGGAGGACCAGCCACACUGGAACUGAGACACGGCCCAGACUCCUACGGGAGGCAGCAGUGGGGAAUUUUGGACAAUGGGGGAAACCCUGAUCCAGCCAUCCCGCGUGUAUGAGAAGGCCUUCGGGUUGUAAAGUACUUUUGGCAGAGAAGCGGUAUCUGCAGAAGAAGCACCGGCUAACUACGUGCCAGCCGCCGCGGUAAUAC